CGGCAAGAGCUCAAAUUUGAAAUCUGGCCCCCCCGGGGCCCGAAUUGUAAUUUGGAGAGGAUGCUUUUGGGUGUACACCGGCCUAAGUUCCUUGGAACAGGACGUCACAGAGGGUGAGAAUCCCGUACGUGGCCGGAAGGUUGCCCUCCGUAAAGCUCCUUCGAC
rnacentral:rRNA from 1 species